rnacentral:SRP_RNA from 1 species
GUAUGGAGAGGAACCAAUAAAGACCUAUGAAUCUUGUCAGGUCCGGAAGGAAGCAGCAAUAAGUAGUUUAUCUUUAUGUGGUAACUUUCCAUAGAGA